ACUUAUAGCUCUGCAAUACUGCACUUAUUUAGAUGGUAAGGCACCUGACAGUCUCCAUGCUAAGUAACUCUCCUCAUGCAUUUCAACAUCGCCAUCAUUCUCCUAUUACUCCUCCAAGCCCUCUUCCAUCGGGGAAUAGAGCUGGUGCAGCGCUUUCAGUUCAUUGUACUCCUGGGGGAGAAUAAUGCUCUUCAACUGAUCUGGUGUCUCAGUCAAACUUAGAUCCCUCUGAAAGUCAGAUCCUUUCAGCGUAGCAUCCCUGAGUGCCGUGUUGGCAGGAAGCGAGACUCGUACCUUAGGCUGAAUGGAUUUCUUCUAACCAAUCCCAGAUAUCAGAGUAGUGCAAAGU
rnacentral:lncRNA from 1 species